UUCCAGUCUCCAUGGUGGUCAUACUUCUU
rnacentral:piRNA from 1 species